rnacentral:rRNA from 1 species
AACGAACGCUGGCGGCAUGCCUAACACAUGCAAGUCGAACGAGACCUUCGGGUCUAGUGGCGCACGGGUGCGUAACGCGUGGGAACCUGCCCUUAGGUUCGGAAUAACUCCCCGAAAGGGGUGCUAAUACCGGAUAAUGUCUUCGGACCAAAGAUUUAUCGCCUUUGGAUGGGCCCGCGUUGGAUUAGCUAGUUGGUGGGGUAAAAGCCUACCAAGGCGACGAUCCAUAGCUGGUCUGGGAGGAUGAUCAGCCACACUGGGACUGAGACACGGCCCAGCCUCCUACGGGAGGAGGCAGUGGGGAUUAUGGGACAUUGGGCGAAGGCCGGUUCCGGCAAGGCGGGGUGGUGGAUGAAGGCUUUAGGGUGGAAAGGCUCUUUUACCCGGGAGGAGAAGACCGGAACGGGAGAAUAAGCUCCGGCUAACUCCGUG